rnacentral:sRNA from 2 species
ACCUAUCGCUGCCAACCUACCUACCACUGCUAAUCUAUCGCUGCUAAUCUAUCGCUGCCAACCUACCUACCGCUGCCAACCUAUCUACCACUGCCAAUCUACCUACCGCUGCCAACCUACCUACCACUGCUAAUCUAUCACUGCUAAUCUAUCGCUGCUAAUCUAUUGCUGCUAAUCUAUCGCUGCUAAUCUAUUGCUGCUAAUCUAUCUAUCACUGCUAAUCUAUCGCUGCCAAUCUACCUACCGCUGCCAACCUACCUACCGCUGCCAACCUACCUACCACUGCUAAUCUAUCACUGCUAAUCUAUCGCUGCCAACCUAUAUAGGGUAAAUCAUGGUCCCAUUUGGUCCCAUUUUGUAAAAUGGGACCAAAUGGGACUGGGACCACUAAUUUAUUAGUAAAACAUGAUCUGGGACUAGAUUUAUAAUAUAAACAGUGUAAAGUGACUAAUUUACUAAACACUAUAUGGGACCAGGACUAAGAUAUCUAAUAAUGGGACUGAGGAAAAAUUU